CCUACGGGAUGCAGCAGUGAGGAAUAUUGGUCAAUGGUCGGGAGACUGAACCAGCCAAGCCGCGUGAGGGAUGAAGGUACAGCGUAUCGUAAACCUCUUUUGUCAGGGAACAAAGGCGGGGACGUGUCCCCGGAUGAGUGUACCUGAAGAAAAAGCAUCGGCUAACUCCGUGCCAGCAGCCGCGGUAAUACGGAGGAUGCGAGCGUUAUCCGGCUUUGUUGGGUUUAAAGGGUGCGCAGGCGGUCUGUUAAGUCAGCGGUCAAAGCCCGGGGCUCAACCCCGGCCCGCCGUUGAAACUGGCAGUCUCGAGUUGGAGAGAAGUAUGCGGAAUGCGCGGUGUAGCGGUGAAAUGCAUAGAUAUCGCGCAGAACUCCGAUUGCGAAGGCAGCAUGCCGGCUCCACACUGACGCUGAGGCACGAAAGCGUGGGUAUCGAACAGGAUUAGAUACCCUUGUAGUC
rnacentral:rRNA from 1 species